UAGCGGCGGACGGGUGAGUAACGCGUGGGAAUGUGCCCUUCUCUACGGAAUAGUCCCGGGAAACUGGGUUUAAUACCGUAUACGCCCUUCGGGGGAAAGAUUUAUCGGAGAAGGAUCAGCCCGCGUCUGAUUAGGUAGUUGGUGGGGUAAUGGCCUACCAAGCCUACGAUCAGUAGCUGGUUUUAGAGGAUGAUCAGCCACACUGGGACUGAGACACGGCCCAGACUCCUACGGGAGGCAGCAGUGGGGAAUCUUAGACAAUGGGCGCAAGCCUGAUCUAGCCAUGCCGCGUGAGUGAUGAAGGCCUUAGGGUCGUAAAACUCUUUCGCCAGGGAUGAUAAUGACAGUACCUGGUAAAGAAGCCCCGGCUAACUCCGUGCCAGCAGCCGCGGUAAUACGGAGGGGGCUAGCGUUGUUCGGAAUUACUGGGCGUAAAGCGCGCGUAGGCGGACUAUUAAGUCAGGGGUGAAAUCCCGGGGCUCAACCCCGGAACUGCCCUUGAUACUGGUAGUCUUGAGUUCGAGAGAGGUGAGUGGAAUUCCGAGUGUAGAGGUGAAAUUCGUAGAUAUUCGGAGGAACACCAGUGGCGAAGGCGGCUCACUGGCUCGAUACUGACGCUGAGGUGCGAAAGUGUGGGGAGCAAACAGGAUUAGAUACCCUG
rnacentral:rRNA from 1 species